rnacentral:rRNA from 1 species
AGAGUUUGAUCAUGGCUCAGGAUGAACGCUAGCGGCAGGCUUAACACAUGCAAGUCGAGGGGCAGCAUAAUGGAUAGCAAUAUCUAUGGUGGCGACCGGCGCACGGGUGCGUAACGCGUAUGCAACCUACCUUUAACAGGGGGAUAACACUGAGAAAUUGGUACUAAUACCCCAUAAUAUCAUAGAAGGCAUCUUUUAUGGUUGAAAAUUCCGAUGGUUAGAGAUGGGCAUGCGUUGUAUUAGCUAGUUGGGUGGGGUAACGGCUCACCAAGGCGACGAUACAUAGGGGGACUGGAGAGGUUAACCCCCCACACCUGGUACUGAGACACGGACCAGACUCCUACGGGAGGCA